rnacentral:rRNA from 1 species
AUAGAUACCCAGGUAGUCCACGCCGUAAACGAUGGAUACUAGCUGUUCGUCCGCCUCGGCGGAUGAGUGGCUAAGCGAAAGUGAUAAGUAUCCCACCUGGGGAGUACGAACGCAAGUUUGAAACUCAAAGGAAUUGACGGGGGCCCGCACAAGCGGUGGAGCAUGUGGUUUAAUUCGAUGAUACGCGAGGAACCUUACCAAGGCUUAAAUGUAGAUUGACAGGACUGGAAACAGUUUUUUCUUCGGACAAUUUACAAGGUGCUGCAUGGUUGUCGUCAGCUCGUGCCGUGAGGUGUCAGGUUAAGUCCUAUAACGAGCGCAACCCCUGUUGUUAGUUGCCAGCGAGUCAAGUCGGGAACUCUAACAAGACUGCCAGUGUAAACUGUGAGGAAGGUGGGGAUGACGUCAAAUCAUCACGGCCCUUACGCCUUGGGCUACACACGUGCUACAAUGGCCGGUACAGAGAGCAGCCACUGCGCGAGCAGGAGCGAAUCUAUAAAACCGGUCAACAGUUCGGAUCGGAGUCUGCAACUCG